rnacentral:rRNA from 1 species
UACGUAGGCAGCGAGCGUUGUUCGGAGUUACUGGGCGUAAAGGGUGUGUAGGCGGUUCUUUAAGUUUGGUGUGAAAUCCCAGGGCUCAACUCUGGACAGGCGGUGGAAACUACCAAGCUGGAGUACGGUAGGGGCAGAGGGAAUUUCCGGUGGAGCGGUGAAAUGCGUAGAGAUCGGGAAGAACACCAACGGCGAAAGCACUCUGCUGGGCCGACACUGACACUGAGAGACGAAAGCUAGGGGAGCGAAUGGG